GGUCGGGCAUAGUGAUU
rnacentral:misc_RNA from 1 species